ACGGGUGAGUAAUGCGUAGGAAUCUGUCUUGUAGAGAGGGACAACCUGGGGAAACCUGGGCUAAUACCACAUGACCUCGAAAGAGAAAAGCAGGGGACCUUCGGGCCUUGCGCUAUAAGGUGAGCCUACGUCGGAUUAGCUAGUUGGUAGGGUAAAGGCCUACCAAGGCGAUGAUCUGUAGCUGGUCUGAGAGGACGGACAGCCACACUGGGACUGAGACACGGCCCAGACUCCUACGGGAGGCAGCAGUGGGGAAUAUUGGACAAUGGGGGCAACCCUGAUCCAGCGAUGCCGCGUGUGUGAAGAAGGCCUUCGGGUUGUAAAGCACUUUCAGUUGGGAAGAGAGUUUGAUGGUGAAUAGUCAUCAAAUGAGACGUUACCAACAAAAGAAGCACCGGCUAACUCUGUGCCAGCAGCCGCGGUAAUACAGAGGGUGCGAGCGUUAAUCGGAGUGACUGGGCGUAAAGGGCAUGUAGGCGGCUAUAUUAGUCUGAUGUGAAAGACCUGGGCUUAACCUGGGAUACGCAUUGGAAACGGUAUGGCUAGAGUAUGGGAGAGGGAGGUGGAAUUUCCGGU
rnacentral:rRNA from 1 species